UUAAAUGAUGAUAUUUUAAUUUCGACUUAAAAUUUGUACAUAUUUAUGUACCAUUUAUA
rnacentral:tRNA from 1 species